AGUUUCUAUAGCACUGUUUAUGAUAGGCGACUGUAUCCUGACUGUCUUAUGGUGAUCCUGGGCUGCUCCGGCGACUCCUUGGCACUUCCCUUUGCUGUUCAACAGGCCCUCAUGUUUGGUAUGGUGAUUGCCAAACGUUUGAUUCUGGGGGAGUGGAAAUCUGCCUCCCCUCCCUGCUUCAAGAGGUGGCUCGAGGAGAUGGUCUCCUGUCUAUACCUGGAAGAAAUUCGGUUCUCUACGUCUGAUUCCAUGGAGAAGUUCAGGAAGAUAUGGGGGCCCUUUAUAGACCACAUUAAGAAGGACAGUCCACGCCCUGGGUCCUGACCACAUUGUUUUAACUGCUUUCAUUCUGAGCUGUUGCCCAUAACUGUUUUUGCAUGAUUGUUAUCUGCUCCUCCUAGCGAUCUUUGGAUUUGAUCUUGUGGAUUGGACUCACUAGAUUGUGAGUUGUUUGACAUGUAUACCAGUUGCUUUGUUUGCUUCUCUGCUGUUUUUAAUAAGUGCUGGCCUUGUACCCUGUUGUGUGGUUUGUUGCUCUGUUUUUUUUGUUUGUUUGUUUGUUUGUUUUUUUUGGUUGUUAUUGUCUUUAUUGUCUGUGUUCUUCUGUCCCGCUGUUUGUGAAUGUGUAAAAAAAUUUUGAAACUUGCAUAAAUAAAUACAUUAAAAAAAAAAAAAAGAAAUUCACAGCUGUAGGUUUUAGGUUAGUUGCAAUAUUCAAAACUAUGAAAAAUAUGCAUUUUAAAAAGAUUACCUCAAAAAAAAACUGUGUCUGUUGCCUUCAGGUACCUGAACAUCUGAAUGCUGGAGUUUUGGGUGAUCCAUGUUCAAAAACAAAAAAUUACAAAACAAAAACAAAUAAUUAAAUACACAGACAUGAACAAACAUUAAAUAUGAGGGUUUAACGAGGGAGCGGAAACAUCUGGGGAACAAGAAAAAGGUGAAACUAAUCAAAGAUAAUGAGACGAAGUAAAACUGGAAAAAAGACGACACACUGAGUCAAGACUUUAACACAAACACACACAGAGAGGAGAAAGGCUAGAAAAAUAACAAGACACUAUACAAAAUAACCAUAACUAAAAGACUAAUGUAGAUAAACAGGAAAAGCAAGAAACAACUAAAGGCUAAAGGAUAAAAACAAAAAAAGUAUCUGGUGAUAUGAUGAUGGUGACCCAUCAGUGGGGCAUGUGUGAUCUUCUGCUUCUGUGACUGAGGAAAAGUGCUCUUCUAGCUUUUUAAAUCCUGUUUCAGUCCCAGUGAGACACAAGUGGAGACCAUUUCAUCCUCCCCUUUGCCACUUCUGGCCUUUUUAAAGAACUCACAGCGCCGGGAUCAGCUGUCAAUUCCAACAUCUCAAUGACAUCCGCAGACCAGCGUCAAAACACCUAUAAACUCCGGAGACCUCGCACGCUUCCCAUCCCCUGCAUCUAUGACUCCUGGUAUGCUGGGACCAAUGUGUAAAUAAAAGGGGCCUCAAAUUGCCUCCAAGCAUUAAAAAUGGAUCCUGUUGGCAGCAAAUGGAGCAUCUCCCCCCUCAUCUGCCGCCAUCUUGUCUGGUCCUUAAGGGCUAGAGGCCCAGGCAGAUGCUCCUCCAGGAGGCAAGGGAGGUUGUUUUGUGCCUCAGGAGUGAGUGAAUGUCUGCGAAAAAGCUGGAGCUUUUUGUGAA
ensembl:lncRNA